rnacentral:rRNA from 1 species
GACGAACGCUGGCGGCGUGCUUAACACAUGCAAGUCGAACGGAAAGGCCUGCUUUCCCUUGUGGUUUGCGGGUACUCGAGUGGCGAACGGGUGAGUAACACGUGAGUGAUCUGCCCCCAACUUGGGUAUAAGCCUGGGAAACUGGGUCUAAUUCCCGAUAGGACUGCAGGGUGGUGCCUGUGGUGGAGAACGAUUUUCUAGUGGUUGGGGAUGCGCUCGCGGCCUAUCAGCUUGUUGGUGGGGUAAUGGACUACCAAGGCGGCGACCGGUCGACGGCCUGGGAGGGUGGACGGCCACAUUGGGACUGGGAUACGGCCCAGACGCCUACGGGAGGCAGCAGUGGGGAAUAUAGCACCGUGGGCGGAAGCCUGAUGCAGCGACGCCGCGUGGGGGAUGACGGGCUUCGGGUGGUAAACUCCUUGCGACCGCGAGGAAGCCACCUGGUUGGAAGGGUGGUGACGGUAGUGGUAGAAGAAGCACCGGCUAACUACGUG